rnacentral:lncRNA from 1 species
GCCAAGAUACAGAAGGUAGGAGACAGAGGAAGGACUGAAGGCAAUUCUGAGUCAACAAGUAUGUCUAGAAAAGAGAAAGAGAAAAGAUCAAACAGGUAAAGUGAAAGCGUGUUGCUUUAGGAGAGGAGACUUGUCCCAUCCGUAGCCCCUUUUCUAAAUUGAUGACCUGGUUCUCCAAAAGGCCGUAGAACUUCAAAACUGUUAUAUGUAGGUCUACAUGGGUUGUCUAAAUGCUGCUCAAAGGGGAGCAUGAAGAGAUCGAUCUGCAAUCCAAGAGAGACAGAUUCCUGCCUGGAGGGAAGCAGAAGAGGCCAUGCUAUUUAUUCUUCUCUGGGAGAGAAAGCGGUUCUUCCCUCUCAUCUCCCUCAUCUGGUGCAGCCCUGGUUGCUAUACCUCCAGAAGAAGCAGUAAGAAUCUCACACAUUGCUCUUUCUUUCUCGCUCUCCGCCUCUUCUGGUUCUUGGAGCGUCUAUUA